GGGUUGUGAGGUUAAGCGACUAAGCGUACACGGUGGAUGCCCUGGCAGUCAGAGGCGAUGAAGGACGUGCUAAUCUGCGAAAAGCGUCGGUAAGGUGAUAUGAACCGUUAUAACCGGCGAUGUCCGAAUGGGGAAACCCAGUGCAAUUCGUUGCACUAUCGUUAACUGAAUACAUAGGUUAACGAGGCGAACCGGGGGAACUGAAACAUCUAAGUACCCCGAGGAAAAGAAAUCAACCGAGAUUCCCCCAGUAGCGGCGAGCGAACGGGGAGCAGCCCAGAGUCUGAAUCAGCUUGUGUGUUAGUGGAACGGUCUGGAAAGUCCGACGGUACAGGGUGAUAGUCCCGUACACCAAAAUGCACAGGCUGUGAACUCGAAGAGUAGGGCGGGACACGUGGUAUCCUGUCUGAAUAUGGGGGGACCAUCCUCCAAGGCUAAAUACUCCUGACUGACCGAUAGUGAACCAGUACCGUGAGGGAAAGGCGAAAAGAACCCCGGCGAGGGGAGUGAAAAAGAACCUGAAACCGUGUACGUACAAGCAGUGGGAGCACCUUCGGGUGUGACUGCGUACCUUUUGUAUAAUGGGUCAGCGACUUAUAUUCUGUAGCAAGGUUAACCGUAUAGGGGAGCCGCAGGGAAACCGAGUCUUAACUGGGCGUUAAGUUGCAGGGUAUAGACCCGAAACCCGGUGAUCUAGCCAUGGGCAGGUUGAAGGUUGGGUAACACUAACUGGAGGACCGAACCGACUAAUGUUGAAAAAUUAGCGGAUGACUUGUGGCUGGGGGUGAAAGGCCAAUCAAACCGGGAGAUAGCUGGUUCUCCCCGAAAGCUAUUUAGGUAGCGCCUCGUGAACUCAUCUUCGGGGGUAGAGCACUGUUUCGGCUAGGGGGUCAUCCCGACUUACCAACCCGAUGCAAACUACGAAUACCGAAGAAUGUUAUCACGGGAGACACACGGCGGGUGCUAACGUCCGUCGUGAAGAGGGAAACAACCCAGACCGCCAGCUAAGGUCCCAAAGUCAUGGUUAAGUGGGAAACGAUGUGGGAAGGCACAGACAGCCAGGAUGUUGGCUUAGAAGCAGCCAUCAUUUAAAGAAAGCGUAAUAGCUCACUGGUCGAGUCGGCCUGCGCGGAAGAUGUAACGGGGCUAAACCAUGCACCGAAGCUGCGGCAGCGACACUAUGUGUUGUUGGGUAGGGGAGCGUUCUGUAAGCCUGCGAAGGUGUGCUGUGAGGCAUGCUGGAGGUAUCAGAAGUGCGAAUGCUGACAUAAGUAACGAUAAAGCGGGUGAAAAGCCCGCUCGCCGGAAGACCAAGGGUUCCUGUCCAACGUUAAUCGGGGCAGGGUGAGUCGACCCCUAAGGCGAGGCCGAAAGGCGUAGUCGAUGGGAAACAGGUUAAUAUUCCUGUACUUGGUGUUACUGCGAAGGGGGGACGGAGAAGGCUAUGUUAGCCGGGCGACGGUUGUCCCGGUUUAAGCAUGUAGGCUGGUUAUCCAGGCAAAUCCGGAUAACCAAGGCUGAGGUGUGAUGACGAGGCACUACGGUGCUGAAGUAACAAAUGCCCUGCUUCCAGGAAAAGCCUCUAAGCAUCAGGUAACAUCAAAUCGUACCCCAAACCGACACAGGUGGUCAGGUAGAGAAUACCAAGGCGCUUGAGAGAACUCGGGUGAAGGAACUAGGCAAAAUGGUGCCGUAACUUCGGGAGAAGGCACGCUGGUGUGUAGGUGAAG
rnacentral:rRNA from 1 species